AUUUUGAAGUUAUUAAAGUAACUAGAGAUUUUUUUAAACGGCUGCAAUUAGUAGUUGUGCUAAGGUAGCGUAAUCAUUUGCCCCUUAAUUAGGGGAAGGUAUGAAUGGUUUGACGUGGGAAAAGCUGUCUCUUUUAUAUAAAAGGAAGUUUAUUUUUGAGUGAAAAAGCUUAGAUGUUUAUAAAAGACGAGAAGACCCUAUCGAACUUGAAUUGUGUGUUAUAGAUUUAUUAUACAGAAAGUUUAGUUGGGGAAACUUAAAGUUAAGAAAAACGCUUUUUUGUUGUAAAAUGAUCCUGUAUUAUAGAAAAAUGAAAAAGUUACCGUAGGGAUAACAGCGCUUUCUUCUCUGAGAGGACUAAUCAAAGAGUUGGUUGCGACCUCGA
rnacentral:rRNA from 1 species